rnacentral:rRNA from 1 species
CCUACGGGUGGCAGCAGUGAGGAAUAUUGGUCAAUGGACGAGAGUCUGAACCAGCCAAGUAGCGUGAAGGAUGACUGCCCUAUGGGUUGUAAACUUCUUUUAUAUGGGAAUAAAACGUUCCACGUGAGGGAUGUUGUAUGUAUCAUAUGAAUAAGGAUCGGCUAACUCUGUGCCAGCAGCCGCGGUAAUACGGAGGAUCCGAGCGUUAUCCGGAUUUAUUGGGUUUAAAGGGAGCGUAGGUGGAUUGUUAAGUCAGUUGUGAAAGUUUGCGGCUCAACCGUAAAAUUGCAGUUGAAACUGGAUGUCUUGAGUACAGUAGAGGUAGGCGGAAUUCGUGGUGUAGCGGUGAAAUGCUUAGAUAUCACGAAGAACUCCGAUUGCGAAGGCAGUUGACUGGACUGCAACUGACACUGAGGCUCGAAAGUGUGGGUAUCAAACAGGAUUAGAUACCCCUGUAGUC